rnacentral:rRNA from 1 species
GGUCAAGUUAUUAAGGGUGCAGGGCGGAUGCCUUGGCACUAGGAGCCGAUGAAGGACGUGAUAAGCUGCGAUAAGCUUCGGGGAGUUGCACGUAAACUUUGAUCCGAAGAUUUCCGAAUGAGGAAACUCACUUAGAGUAAUGUCUAAGUAUCAUUAAGUGAAUACAUAGCUUAAUGAGGGGAACUCAGGGAACUGAAACAUCUAAGUACCUGAAGGAAGAGAAAGAAAUUCGAUUCCGUAAGUAGCGGCGAGCGAACGCGGAUUAGCCCAAACCAAUAAAGUUUUCUUUAUUGGGGUUGCGGACAUAUCAUAACGAAGAGGUAUCGUAAUUGAAGAGGUUUGGAAAGACCCACCACAGAAGGUAAUAGUCCUGUAUGUUAAACGAGAAGACUUUAGAUAUGAUCCAGAGUACCACGGGACACGUGAAACCCUGUGGGAAGCAGGAGGGACCACCCUCCAAGGCUAAAUACUACCUAGUGACCGAUAGCGUAUAGUACCGUGAGGGAAAGGUGAAAAGAACCCCGGGAGGGGAGUGAAAUAGAACCUGAAACCCUGCACUUACAAGCUGUGGAAGCACAUUUCUUGUGUGACCGCGUACUUUUUGUAGAACGGGCCAACGAGUUACGUUAAGUAGCAAGGUUAAGCACUUAAGGUGUGGAGCCGUAGCGAAAGCGAGUUUUAACUGAGCGUUCAGUUACUUGACGUAGACCCGAAACCGGGCGACCUACCCAUGAGCAGGAUGAAGCGAAAGUAAAAUUUCGUGGAGGUCCGAACCCACGAGCGUUGAAAAGCUCGGGGAUGACUUGUGGGUAGCGGUGAAAUUCCAAUCGAGCCCGGAGAUAGCUGGUUCUCCCCGAAAUAGCUUUAGGGCUAGCCUCAAGGUGAGAGAUACGGAGGUAGAGCACUGAAUGUCCUAGGGGGUAUUGCACCUACCGAAGACUAUCAAACUCCGAAUGCCGUCAUCUUAUACUUGGGAGUCAGACUGUGGGUGAUAAGAUUCAUAGUCGAAAGGGCAACAGCCCAGAUCGUCAGCUAAGGUCCCUAAAUGUAAGUUAAGUGGUAAAGGAUGUGGGAUUGCACAGACAACCAGGAUGUUGGCUUAGAAGCAGCCACUCAUUCAAAGAGUGCGUAAUAGCUCACUGGUCGAGUGAUCCUGCGCCGAAGAUUUCCGGGGCUAAAACUUACUACCGAAGCUACGGCAUCAGUAAUGAUGGGUAGGGGAGCUUCCCAUACGGGUUGAAGCAUGACCGUAAGGACAUGUGGACAGUAUGGGAGUGAGAAUGUUGGCAUGAGUAGCGAGAUGUGGGUGAGAAUCCCACAGGCCGUAAACCCAAGGUUUCCAGGGGAAGGUUCGUCCGCCCUGGGUUAGUCGGGACCUAAGCUGAGGCCGAAAGGCGUAGGUGAUGGACAACAGGUUGAUAUUCCUGUACUACCGAUAACCGUUUGAGAGAAGGGAUGACACAGUAGGAUAAGCUAAGCACACUGUUGGUUAUGUGUGCCCAAGCAUUGAGGCAGUCAAAGUAGGCAAAUCCGCUUUGAUAAUGCUGGGAUGUGAUGGGGAGCGAAAUUUAGUAGCGAAGUAGCUGAUUUCACACUGUCAAGAAAAGUCUCUAUCGAGGUUAAAGGUACCCGUACCGCAAACCGACACAGGUGGGUGAGGAGAGUAUCCUAAGGCCAGCGAGAGAACUGUUGUUAAGGAACUCGGCAAAAUGACCCCGUAACUUAGGGAUAAGGGGUGCCACCAUUAGGUGGCCGCAGAGAAUAGGCCCAAGCGACUGUUUACCAAAAACAUAGGUUUCUGCUAAGUCGCAAGACGAUGUAUAGGAGCUGACGCCUGCCCGGUGCUGGAAGGUUAAGGGGAUCUGUUAGAG